AUUGAACGCUGGCGGCAGGCUUAACACAUGCAAGUCGAGCGAGCGGCGGACGGGUGAGUAAUGUCUGGGAAACUGCCUGAUGGAGGGGGAUAACUACUGGAAACGGUCGCUAAUACCGCAUACCAUCAGAUGUUCCCAGAUGGGAUUAGCGAGUAGGUGGGGUAAUGGCUCACCUAGGCGACGAUCCCUAGCUGGUCUGAGAGGAUGACCAGCCACACUGGAGCUGAGGCACGGUCCAGACUCCUACGGGAGGCAGCAGUGGGGAAUAUUGCACGAAGGGCGCAAGACUGAUGCAGCCAUGCCGCGUGUGUGAAGAAGGCCUUCGGGGUGUAAAGCACUUGCAGCGAGGAGGCGUUACUCGCAGAAGAAGCACCGGCUAACUCCGUGCCAGCAGCCGCGGUAAUUC
rnacentral:rRNA from 1 species